rnacentral:snoRNA from 1 species
AAACGAGGUCCAGAGUCACUUCAAUGACAAAGUGUCUUUUAAGUGCUAGGAUAGCUCGAAAAUAGAAUAGGGACUUUAUGCAAACAGUUCUUGCUUUAUGCUCAUCUGUUUCACCUCCGUUUCUGACAAC